CUGCCCUUGGGUCCGGCAUAACCCCGGGAAACUGGGGAUAAUUCCGGAUAACGCAUAUAUGCUGGAAUGCUUUAUGCGUCAAAUGGAUUCGUCUGCCCAAGGAUGGGUCUGCGGCCUAUCAGGUAGUAGUGGGUGUAAUGUACCUACUAGCCGACGACGGGUACGGGUUGUGAGAGCAAGAGCCCGGAGAUGGAUUCUGAGACAUGAAUCCAGGCCCUACGGGGCGCAGCAGGCGCGAAAACUUUACAAUGCGGGAAACCGUGAUAAGGGGACACCGAGUGCCAGCAUCAUAUGCUGGCUGUCCGGGUGUGUAAAAUACACCCGUUAGCAAGGGCCGGGCAAGACCGGUGCCAGCCGCCGCGGUAACACCGGCGGCCCGAGUGGUGAUCGUGAUUAUUGGGUCUAAAGGGUCCGUAGCCGGUUUGGUCAGUCCUCCGGGAAAUCUGACGGCUUAACCGUUAGGCUUUCGGAGGAUACUGCCAGGCUUGGAACCGGGAGAGGUAAGAGGUACUACAGGGGUAGGAGUGAAAUCUUGUAAUCCCUGUGGGACC
rnacentral:rRNA from 1 species